rnacentral:rRNA from 1 species
GGGAUAGAAUUCCAGGAGUAGCGGUGAAAUGCGUAGAUAUCUGGAGGAAUACCAAAGGCGAAGGCAGUCCCCUGGUCCGAUACUGACACUGAGGUACGAAAGCGUGGGGAGCAAACAGGAUUAGAUACCCUGGUAGUCCACGCCCUAAACGAUGUCGAUUAGCCAUUGGAAGGACCCCUUUUCCUUUCAGUGACGUAGCUAACGCGUUAAAUCGACCGCCUGGGAAGUACGACCGCAAGGUUAAAACUCAAAGGAAUUGACGGGGACCUGAACAAGCGGUGAAUGAUGUGGAUUAAUUCGAUGCUACGCGAAGAACCUUACCUACCUUUGACAUGGCCAAAGUUCUACCGAGAGGCGGAAGUACUCGUAAGAGGAUUGGCGCACAGGUGCUGCAUGGUUGUCGUCAGUUCGUGUCGUGAGAUAGUUGGGUUCAGUCCCGCAACGAACGCAACCCUUAUCUUUAAUUGCUCCUAUUUUAACAGGCACUUUAAAGAAACUGCCAAUGAUAAGUUGGAGGAAGGUGGGGAUCACGUCAAGUCCGCAUGGCCUUUAUAGGUAGGGCUUCACACGUCAUACAAUGGUUAGAACAAAGAGCUGCAAAUUCGUAAGAAGGAGCCAAUCUCACAAACCUAACCUCAGUUCGAAUUGCGGUCUGCAACUCGAGCGCAUGAAGCCGGAAUCGCUAGUAAUCGUGGAUCAGAAUGCCACGGUGAAUACGUUCUUAGGUCUU